GCAACCGCUACAUUACAAAGUUCAACAUUUGGCAAACAACAGCAACAACAAGCAUUUCGUCGUCUUUCUUCUUUUACUUUCCGAUUAGCCAAGAGGAGGAUUUCAGAAUGGACAAGGGCUCGGAUCCAAUCAAGACUGUUAAACCACCAAAAGGGUUGCCAAAGUGAGGGGCCGAAUCUUCGACUUUGAAUUCCCUUGAAAAUCUCGGCGGUACAAAACUACUGUCUCAACAUUGCCUAAAACUUGAUUGCACAUCAACAUGUUAUGAAUGCAUGCUAAACUGAAGUGGUUGACAAAAGAUUGCAUUGUGUUCAUUAUCUAUAAUCGAAUUAGAUUGAAGUCUUUUUGAUCGCAAACUUUAGGUCUGUAUCUAACUGAUUGACAUUUACCCAAGCACAUCUUGACUCAAACGACUCUGAGAUUACAACUGAUUUCUCUGUGAUUGAUCUUGAGCAGCAGUUUUUAUUGCCAACGCCAAACCUUUGCACUUGAUUUUCGUAGGUAGUGUCCACUCAAGAGCAUUAGUCAACUCCCGUUGUAUUUUAACUGAUAAGAAACGUGAUAAUCAGUUGCUCAUGAAAACUAAUGAGAAUGACGUCUUUGUUGAAGUUACAAAAUCUCACUCGUCUAGGAAGGGAGUCCCUCACAAGCUAUUUGAAUCGACUGACUAACGUUCAACUUACGAAUUGCUGUACGUCCCAGUACAACAAUCAUAUUCUAGCAGUGGCUACGCAAAUUUGACCUUUACUGUUUGACAAUGCAGCCGUAGUGUUACAACGUGAGUCGUCCUAUUCUUAGCGAUCCCUGUCAUUUCGUUUGGUGAGUUCGAUCCAUAAAAAUAUGUCACGCACAGAUUAUGUCUGCGCCAGUAGCUUUUAUCUAUUCAAGUUCGACACGGCCACAGCCAACAUUCUUAACACAAUUGGAUACCUGUUUCGAGCUCUUCAUCAUUUUUUACUUUACUUACGGACUGUUUGAAUGCCAGACUGCAUCGCUAUUGAGAUCCAAUUCCUUUCGAAAGGAAAAGAAAAACGACUGUCACUCAAUACUUUGUCCUCUGGGUCGCGUUGGGAAACUAAAAGACUGCAAACUACCUGAAAGUAGAUCGGAAAUUCCCAGCACUGUCAUUUCAAGGUUGAUUUACAAUGCAAAAUAUUUGCUGAGGCGCUAAUCUUUCGCAGUUGCAUCACAUUUUCCCGUCUGCUAAAAGAUAUAGGUUUGACAUCGAUCAAACAGAAUGUUCCAGAGACAAUGUGCGUGUUCCGCAUUCUCAUCAUGUGCCAAAGGUUACCUGUCAAAGAUAAAAAGAAAUCUCUGACGCCAAUCGAAAACGAAAUCGAAAACGGAUUUUUUCUACUGAUUUUGUCGAACCUAACAUAACCAUUUCGUUUGUAUUGAGUUGUACACUUACAAAUAAAAACCAAAUUCAUCAUGAA